UACGUAGGGGGCAAGCGUUACUCGGAAUGACUGGGCGUAAAGGGUGAGUAGGCGGCUGAGCAAGUCAGGGAUGAAAGCCCGAGGCUCAACUUGGGAAUUGUCCUUGAGACGGCUCAGCUUGAGGGUAGUUGAGGAGAGUGGAAUUCCCGGUGGAGCGGUGAAAUGCGUAGAUAUCGGGAGGAGCACCGGUGGCGAAGGCGGCUCGCUAAGCCGUUCCUGACGCUGAAUCACGAAAGCUAGGGGAGCAAACGGG
rnacentral:rRNA from 1 species